AGAGUUUGAUCAUGGCUCAGAACGAACGCUGGCGGCAUGCCUAACACAUGCAAGUCGAACGUGAUCCGGGCUUCGGCCCGNNGAAAGUGGCAGACGGGUGAGUAACGCGUGGGAACCUGCCCGAUGGUAGGGAAUAACUGCGGGAAACUGCAGCUAAUACCCUAUGACCCCUGAGGGGGAAAGAUUUAUCGCCAUCGGAGGGGCCCGCGUCGGAUUAGGUAGUUGGUGGGGUAACGGCCUACCAAGCCUUCGAUCCGUAGCUGGUCUGAGAGGAUGAUCAGCCACACUGGGACUGAGAUACGGCCCAGACUCCUACGGGAGGCAGCAGUGGGGAAUAUUGGACAAUGGGGGCAACCCUGAUCCAGCAAUGCCGCGUGGGUGAUGAAGGCCUUCGGGUUGUAAAGCCCUUUCGGCGGGGAAGAUGAUGACGGUACCCGCAGAAGAAGCCCCGGCUAACUUCGUGCCAGCAGCCGCGGUAAUACGAAGGGGGCUAGCGUUGUUCGGAAUUACUGGGCGUAAAGGGCGCGUAGGCUGUGCUGUAAGUCAGGCGUGAAAGGCCCGGGCUCAACCUGGGAACUGCGCUUGAUACUGCGGCGCUUGAAGACGGGAGAGGAUGGCGGAAUUCCCAGUGUAGAGGUGAAAUUCGUAGAUAUUGGGAAGAACACCGGUGGCGAAGGCGGCCAUCUGGCCCGUUAUUGACGCUGAGGCGCGAAAGCGUGGGGAGCAAACAGGAUUAGAUACCCUAGUAGUCC
rnacentral:rRNA from 1 species